AAGUCGUAACAAGGUUUCCGUAGGUGAACCUGCGGAAGGAUCAUUAACAAAUCCAACUCUGCACAGGAGCGAACAAAAUUGUGAUGCGGAAACGCUACACAAAGUUUUUUCCUGUGCGCUUGCGAAAGCUGUGUCUUUAGGGAUUCAUUUCUCUAUCGACGCGUAACAAACAAGCAACCUGGGGUACUUUAAGGUAGAGCGCUUCAUUGUGCUUUGUCUUAGAGCCCUUCUAAUAAUCCCUUUUUUUACCAUUUUACCCCUUAUAAACUAUAAGACUGAUAUGACAUGAUAAAUGUCGAAUACAAAAACUAUAAAACAACUCUUAACAAUGGAUAUCUAGGCUCUG
rnacentral:misc_RNA from 1 species